rnacentral:lncRNA from 12 species
GGAGGGGGCGCUGCUCGCGGCGGGCGGGCGGCCGGGGCUGAAGUACAGGCUGUCCCCGGCAGCCGGCGGAGUCAGCGCGCCCACGUGACGGCCCCGGCUCUCCGGUGAGCUCCCCAAACAGACGCACACCCAGCCACACGCGCGCACACACACGCACGCACCCCCGCGCGCACACGCCCGCCCGCUCUGCCUCUGCGCCCUCCAUCCCGGCUCGCUCCUUCCCUCGCCCUCUCGCCUCCCCUGCGGUCUCUCGCUCUGCGCGCACACCCCGCACACACGCACACGCACACACACGCGCGCACACACGCAGCCGGCACAGGCGGCGGCGGCGGCGGCGGCGGCGGCGGCUGCCCAAGUCAGGACGAACCUCUGUAGGCACCGUCUCGAGAAGGCGGCGGCGGCGGCGGCAGCCCGAGCAUCCCGAGCAUCCCGAGCAUCCCGAGCAUCCCGAGCAUCCCGAGCAUCCCGAGCAUCCCUCGUCUCCCCGAGAGCGAGCACCGCCGAGAGUUUGCGUUCCCUUCGCCGUUCCCUUCCCCCCCCCCACCUCCUUUUCUUUAUUUCGGAGAGCGUUUCCUCCUCGCUUAUUGGUUUUAAUUUGAUUUUGAAAAUUUUGGGUUGCUUUUGUGUGUGUGCCUUUUUUUUUUUCUUUCUUUUCCCCCCUUUCCUCAUUUUAUUUGCAUCCAGAGCAUGGCGUGCUGCGGGCUGUCGGAAGACACCUUCUUCUCUUCCUUCUUUUACAACUACGGCUCCUCCUGGGAAACCCCCUCCAGCCAGGGGUGAGGCGUGUACAUGUGCGUGA